AACUCACCUGCUGCUGUAACCUGAGGCACAAAGCAAAACUUUAAACAAAUGAAGGUGACGCCUCUUGGUCAGAGAAAAACCUGAUCAGACAGAACGUUCCAGAAAAGCAAACUUGACUAAAUUAAACACCAGAAUUCACAAGCUGCACCGAGAAGGAUCAUCAUAACAGUUUUAGUCUUCAAUUUAUAGCUUUGUAUACUAGUAAGAAAUAAAGUAGGAAAUUUUGUGGCUCAUACCUGCUGAAGAUUACUUGUUAAAUACACAUCAGAAAAAAUGCAGAAUCCGGAAUCAACAAUGGAGGAAAUGUUUUCAGAAAUGGUUGACAAGCACCAAGAAAAAAGCGAUCAGCUUCAGCAACAGAAUCUUGAAAUUCAAGCUGGCCAAAGAGAGAUAUUAAAUAUCCUGCAAAACCCACAACAUGAAAUGAGCUAUCAAGUCACAUCUGAAGACACUCCUGGCCUCAGCUCAACACCUGUGAAAGAUUCCAGUGCUUCAGGUUU